rnacentral:rRNA from 1 species
UACGAAGGGGGCUAGCGUUGCUCGGAAUCACUGGGCGUAAAGGGCGCGUAGGCGGCGUUUUUUAAGUCGGGGGUGAAAGCCUGUGGCUCAACCACAGAAUGGCCUCGAUACUGGGACGCUUUGAGUAUGGUAGAGGUUGGUGGAACUGCGAGUGUAGAGGUGAAAUUCGUAGAUAUUCGCAAGAACACCAGUGGCGAAGGCGGCUCACUGGCCCGGUACUGACGCUGAGGUGCGAAAGC